rnacentral:rRNA from 1 species
AUGGAGGUGGAGGCGAUGAGCAGCGCGCUCGCGGGGUUGAAGAUCCACAGCAGUGACGGCGUGGGUUGCCGUAAUCGUGGGAGGGAGAACGUCGGCGGGGCGAAGACGACGAGGCCGCUCCGCCUCAAGAUCAAGUCCCUGACGAGGAAGAGCCGAAUCCGUCGCGAUGAGAAUCGGCCGCCUACUCCAACCCGGGACGAGCGAUGGGCCGAGGAACCGGAGAAUCUGCCGGAGGUCAAGGAGGAGGACGCCAUCGCCAGGAGCCGUCGAAUCUGGGAUAGGCGUUGGGCCGGCCGUUACGGUGCCUUCGAGGAUGAAACGAGUAUCGGUCCCAUGCGCUACACAUCCAAACCGCCUACCCCAGAAUACCUAUUCACAGAACAGACCGUGCAGAUCUUCUCCAUCAGGGUCAGGGCCCCAACAGAUGGUCUCAAGUGGCCGCUGCGUGUCUAUGGCCACAUUGCCACCAGAGACUCGAUGGAUCAGAAUCGCAACUAUCUCUUCAGGCGCACAAGGGAUAACUGCCAAACCCUCUCACAAGACGAUCCAUCCUUGCUGCUAACUGGCCCAUCCCGGGCAAUUGUGUACCUUGCUCCAAUUACAUUCGAAGUGCAGUUAAAAGUAAAGGGCAAAGGUGAGUCUGAAGAUGAGAUGCUGGCUUUCGGUGCCUUCUACUAUGACGAUGGGUCUGCUUGUGAACGCAAGCUUUCUAUACGUUACGACCACAAGCGCUGCAUGCUUGAGUAUGAAGUGGCGCUGCGGCCACGCUCGGUUGAGGCCACAAUCAGCUUGAAGGUCGUCGUGGGGUCAUGGCCGGAGAACCACCGAGGAAUAGUCGUCGCCAUCACCUCCGGCAUAGACGAGAAGAUCGUCCUGCUUCGUUGUCGAGACAGAGAACCGCCCAUUGAUCCGGAUGGCUCGUUUGAGCUCUCGAGGCGGGUUGUUUCUGUGGACUUGGGAGAGAAAUUGUUGGUUGCUGUGGACGCCUCUCUCUCCGAUUUUCUCAUGCGGGCCACUGCCGUGUUCAAGCCGGCGUGCUCCGGCACGAGCCACGGCGUAUGCGACCUCGGUUCCUGCAAGGUUGAAGUCACAGUUGCUUGGUCCCUCUUCGUUAUUGUUGUGCCGUAG